CUCCCUCUUUACUACCUGGCUGAAAAACACGAAUCAUUUCAAACUCCUUAUUCUGGUGCCUCCAACUCCACCUUCUUAUUAACAUAAUCCAGGUACCCCUGAAGUAUCCCAACAGCAGCAAACUUGUCAGUUAUGGUUUUUGCUAGAACUGGAUGCAAAUCUAAAGGCUUUACCAGUAAUUCCACAUUCUUUGAUGUAAAGCACUCAUCCCAAUAUGUGUAUUUUAAAUCUUCAAGUUUCCCUGUUUUAGAGAGAUCAUCGACGAAAAGCUUCACAUGCAAAGCGUCAGGAGCAGUUCGGGCUCGGCCUCUU
rnacentral:misc_RNA from 1 species